CUCAGCUUCCUGAAUGCUGGCAUCAUAGGCAUGCACCACCAUGCCCAGCUUACAUAAAUAAUAUUUAAAUUGCAUAAUCACCUUGUAAGAUAGUUCCCCAUUUCAUGGAAGAGAAAAACAGGCUAGAAAGGACCAUAAUGUGCUCAACACAGAGCUUUUAAAUGGCAGGUUCAAAAUGUAAACAUCAGAUACUGAAGUCCAAACCAUUCAUCAAACUUUCAGUCACAUUUAAGUAAACAUUUCAACUUAGAAGGCAGUUUUAUUUAGGCUCUUGUUCUAUUUAAGGAGGCACCUGAAGUGCUUUCAGUAUAGACAGAAAUGAGUCAGACGCUCACACUGACUUGGUAAAGUUUAGUUAAGCAGGGUAAGGAGAGACGCUCAGGGAGCUGUGAAUGUUACCAGUUCCAAGCACACAGCCUUUGUGCCCACAGCCCCAUUUCUGAAUAAGCCUCAGUUUCCCUCAAGGCAGGGCUGGGACUCACUGUCUCUGUAGCCCAGUUCCCUGAAGCACUGAGCUCGGCACACAGCAGGCAGUCAAUAAAUGCACAGAAUUGAACAUAUGGGCAAUGCAGAAUAUGCACACUCAUAAUGAUGGAAGCAAAAUGCAUGGAAAAAACUUUGAUUUAUAUGUUUGACCAAUUAGGAGAUCAUAUACUCGUUAUGAAAUGAUCCAACUGGGCCAGGGAUAUAGCUCAGUGGCAUAAGCACCUGCCUGGCAAGUGCAAGGUCCUGAGUUCGAUUACCGGUCCCCCCCCCAAAAAAAAGAAAUGAUUCAAUCACUGAUUUUCAAUAGGAGGCUUUUAAAGUAUCAUUUGAAUAACACUCAGCUAGCAGAAGUUGAUUUACACACACCUUUCAGGAAUACAGAACAAUACAAGAGAAACCUGAAGAAAAAACAUUUAAAGAGCUGCAGAUACAGCAGCCAGCAGCCCCUGCAGGACUGGGGUGGGCAGCAGGGAUAGGGGAGGCGGCUGGGAGACCCUCUGCUGGGGGAGGCUGUCUAGUAGGUGCGAAAUGGGGUGGGGUGGGUGGCAGUUCUGGGCAGAGGGUCCAAGGGUGGCAGGUGAGUAUGAUGCAGACUGAAGCCCAGCAGGGCCGCCAGGUGGACGUCAUGCUGCUCAGGCAUCGGGGAGGGUGACAAAGAGGAGGCAGUGUCCGACUCAGACGCAGAACGGAAGAAUUCUGGGGGGUGUGUUGCGGGGAGACUGCUGUGGACUAGCUUGACAGGCACCUGCCCUGGGGGCAGUCGGCAUGAGAAACAGCAAUGCUGGGAUUACUUCCGGUAAGAAAUCUGUCCUUCAUUUGGGAGGCAACAGGGAAGAACUUAAGCAAGGAGAGGGAUCUCAAGAGAGCCGCAGCUCUAUACAAAGAACACUCCAGAAAUGAAGUGGUAGGCUGUGCAAAGAGGAAAGGCCCGGCACGCCGGGAGAGGAGGGAGGAGGCUGGUGGAGGACACCGCUUCCAGCCUUGGCUGGGAGGAGGCCGGUGGGCCAGGAUGUCAGGGGAGGGGUGCUGCCAGGCUGGCCUGAGCAGGAGGAGGGAGCUGCGGGAGCAGCGGGAGAGGGUGCGGCAGAAUUCCCAGUAAAGGGGGAAGAGGAAGAGCAGGGAAGGGAGAUGAAGUCAGAUGAUCAGGUCAGGUCCAGAGGCAGAAGGAGCAGCCGGAGCCCAGGCUGGGCGAGGGCCACGGCCCCGGGUCGGGUCACUAGUGCCCUUGACAGAGCCAUUUCCAUGGCGAUGGGGUGGAUGCAUGAAGGCUGGUGAGGCGAGGGCUGGGGUGGUGGGUGGAGGAGGCACGGAUGCAGGGCCAGGAGCCCAGUCGGAAGGAGAGAGGGCAGAGGCAGCUGCAGGAGGAGGAGCAGCGUGUUCCCAGCCCGGGAAGUGGAGUCGAUGGAGCAAGAUAGACCCGACAGGGUUUAUUUCUAGGCAACUUCGCCUCCCCUGCUUUCACCCCUGAAGGUCACUGUGCUCGGAGCCUCAUACUGGACCCUUCUGCAGCCAAGAGCCUCACAAGGAGAAGUACAAUGACCCUGUGCUGAACGCUCAUUAUGUGCCACACUCUGACAGCCCCUUAGAAGCACUGUCUGCUUACCUCUGCUUACUGGUGUGCUGGGUACCUGCCCAGUCACAUGGCCCCCGGUGAUGAAGGGGGGUUUCGGAAGCUGCCUCGUAAGCAGAUAUUGUUGCUCUGUAGGCAGUGAUGAGCUCUCAGGGAGCAUCUCCCCAAAUGAUAACAGUGCAAAGCCUGAGGGAACAGAAGGCAGCUGUAAGGACGGGGACCCGCACC